AGGGGCAGGAAGCGGUACUUGGGUGGCGUCCUCGGUCUGGAGGGACGACUAUCCGGUCGGCCCAGGCCAGAGGCCUGUGCACCCGCAGAGGGACAGUGAGAGGGGAAGGGAAAACUAACACAAGGUAAAAUGUACUCAUCUUAAGGAGACCGUUUGAUGCGUCCUGAAUAAUGCUCCCACCUGCACAACUGAGAGCCUGUCGGGAAACGGAAAGCUUCCGUCUCCCCACAAAAUUCCCUCAUGUGCCUUCUCAGGCAAUUCCCCCAACCAGUGUUGUGUUCUGUUGUUUCCUUUGGUUUUAUUCGUCUGGCAUGUUCUAGCAUUUUACAGAAGAGGAACCAUACAGUAGCGACCUUUACAUACAACGAGUCGUUUGCACGCAUCCGUGUUGUUGCGUGUUUGUCUGUCAUCCCCCUGUUGAUGGAAACUUGGGCUGCCUCCAUUUUGGUUAACAUGAGUAAAGCUGAUCUAAACUUUCUCAGACAAGUCUUUGGAGAACAGAUAUUUUCAUUUCUCAGGGGACAUGGGUUCGAGCCCUGGUCCAGGAAGAUCCCACAUGCCACGGAGCAACUAAGGCUGUGAGCCCCAACUGUUGAGCCCGUGUGCCACAACGACUGAAACCCGUGUGCCUAGAGCCUGUGCUCCACAGCAAGAGAAGCCACUGCAACGAGAAGCCCAUGCACCACAACGAAGAGUAGCCCCCAGUCACUGCAACUAGAGAAAGCCCACGCGCAGCAACGAAG